rnacentral:tRNA from 1 species
GGGGGUGUAACUCAUUGGUAGAGUGUCUGCUUCGCACGCAGAAAGUCCUGGGUUCAAAUCCCAGCUCCUCCA